GUGGGCCUUGUCAUUACUUUAAUUAUAUUCAGAGUCUGGUUGGCUGCUGAUGGUAGGUGGGUGAGAUCACAAGCCUCCCUUCCCCAGGGCUUGCAAUCUGAUUGGCCGGGGAUCUCUCCUCAGUUCUUUUGCCUUUCCCUCAGCCUUGGGCAAGUCCCGGAUAUAGGAGGCUCUCUUUCGGCCCACACUUCCGUUCCCCAGUCUCCAGACUCUGCACGGCCUGAAGGGAUUCUCUCAGGCUCUGCUCCACUCUCAGGCUUCUGAGGGCCCAAAGUGGUUCAGAGGGGACGCUCUCAGUGUUCCUGCUCUUCCUCCAGCUGUGGCAACCUGUGACUCAUGCCUGGGACAGUUUCUCUCAGUUUUCCUGCCUUACUUCCAACACUCUGCGCGAGCACUUGAAGAGGAAUCCCGGGAAGGAGUUGACAGGAUGCUGAAUUCGCAGCACAUUCUGCAGUUAUUCUGGAGAACAAGUGAGAAACAGGGCAGAAUUGGAUCAGCCCAAGGCCAUCCGGGGAACUGUCCUGCACAGAGAAGGAUGAAAGCCGGUCCUGGAUCAUGACAGCUGAGGUGCCAGGUAAGUUGAGUUCUUGUGGUUAACCACAGACAAAAGAUAUGCACUUACAUCCCUUGGGGGGAUGAGGAGGACAGUCCAGCAGGCCAGUAUUGGCAACAGGAAGGAGGAGGAUACACCCGGCACCCUCCUAUAGUGAGUCCUAAAUGUGUAUUGCAUGUCCACUGCGUCCUAGGCCUACUGAUUGGUGAUUUAUAUGCAGCAAUUAAUAUUUGCUGAAAGAAUUCUUUAUUUCUCACAACAACCUCACAAGGUAUGUUUAUUCCUAGCUUCAAAAAUGACAUUAAGGAUUAUUCGCUCAGUCAGCAAAUGUUCACUCAUAGCCUAGUGGGUUCCAGGUCUUGUGUUUGAUACAGGGCUACAAAGAUGGCCCCAAUUCCUACUCUCUUAGAAAGCAGACAUAGUGAAAAUUGAGCUCCAGAAUUUAUAUAUAUAUAUACUCUACCUCGGAGUUGUAUUACCAUGAACUCAGAGUAGUUAUAAAAUAUUUUGAAGAUCACAAAGCUUAAAAAUGGAAAAGUUAGCUUUCCAAACCAGAGCUUUUUAAACAUACUUUAAAGUCCCUACCCUUUUGGUUACAACUCACAGCCUGCUGUUUGAGAGGGUGGCAGAGAAAAUGAUGUCAUCUAGGUAGAAUGUAUUUGAAUGAGGAAAUCCAGGUAAGAACAGGAGCCCACUCUCAAGCACAGUGGAAGAAUCUAAGGAGACAGCUAUUUAAAUGGAUUCAAACCCAAACAUCUUGAGUGAGAGAUUUUGCUACCAGAGAGAAGUUUGCAAAAUCAGAAGAGGCUAUGAGAAUAAUGAUGGACUGUAUCUAGCAGACCAAAAGGAAUUAAAGAUAAAUUAACCAAGUGCAGCCAAGGUCAUUUUUCUGUAAUACAGAAUUCAUAUAAAAACUCAUUCUCUCUUCUCCGUUCUGUCUCAUAUACACUCUCACAUAUGUGCUACAACUCAGUGGUUCAAAAAUCCUUCCCUUGCCUCUCCAUACCUCUAAUACCUGCAAUACAUGCAGACCUGCCUGGAAGUCUCUUUGAAAUCCAUGGGACAGAAUGGAGGAACGAGGAUGUAUCUAAUUUCAAAAGUCAUGGCCCUGUUCUGUGCUGGUGUAGACUGAGGCCU
ensembl:lncRNA